UGGGGAAUAUUGCACAAUGGGUGCAAGCCUGAUGCAGCCAUGCCGCGUGUAUGAAGAAGGCCUUCGGGUUGUAAAGUACUUUCAGCCGGGAGGAAGGGAGUAAAGUUAAUACCUUUGCUCAUUGACGUUACCCGCAGAAGAAGCACCGGCUAACUCCGUGCCAGCAGCCGCGGUAAUACGGGGGGUGUAAGCGUUAAUCGGAAUUACUGGGCGUAAAGCGCACGCAGGCGGUUUGUUAAGUCAGAUGUGAAAUCCCCGGGCUCAACCUGGGAACUGCAUCUGAUACUGGCAGGCUUGAGUCUCGUAGAGGGGGGUGGAAUUCCAGGUGUAGCGGUGAAAUGCGUAGAGAUCUGGAGGAAUACCGGUAGCGAAGGCGGCCCCCUGGGCGAAGACUGACGCUCAGGUGCGAAAGCGUGGGGAGCAAACAGG
rnacentral:rRNA from 1 species